rnacentral:rRNA from 1 species
GACGUUAGCGGCGGACGGGUGAGUAACACGUGGAUAACCUACCUAUAAGACUGGGAUAACUUCGGGAAACCGGAGCUAAUACCGGAUAAUAUAUUGAACCGCAUGGUUCAAUAGUGAAAGACGGUUUUGCUGUCACUUAUAGAUGGAUCCGCGCCGCAUUAGCUAGUUGGUAAGGUAACGGCUUACCAAGGCAACGAUGCGUAGCCGACCUGAGAGGGUGAUCGGCCACACUGGAACUGAGACACGGUCCAGACUCCUACGGGAGGCAGCAGUAGGGAAUCUUCCGCAAUGGGCGAAAGCCUGACGGAGCAACGCCGCGUGAGUGAUGAAGGUCUUCGGAUCGUAAAACUCUGUUAUUAGGGAAGAACAAAUGUGUAAGUAACUAUGCACGUCUUGACGGUACCUAAUCAGAAAGCCACGGCUAACUACGUGCCAGCAGCCGCGGUAAUACGUAGGUGGCAAGCGUUAUCCGGAAUUAUUGGGCGUAAAGCGCGCGUAGGCGGUUUUUUAAGUCUGAUGUGAAAGCCCACGGCUCAACCGUGGAGGGUCAUUGGAAACUGGAAAACUUGAGUGCAGAAGAGGAAAGUGGAAUUCCAUGUGUAGCGGUGAAAUGCGCAGAGAUAUGGAGGAACACCAGUGGCGAAGGCGACUUUCUGGUCUGUAACUGACGCUGAUGUGCGAAAGCGUGGGGAUCAAACAGGAUUAGAUACCCUGGUAGUCCACGCCGUAAACGAUGAGUGCUAAGUGUUAGGGGGUUUCCGCCCCUUAGUGCUGCAGCUAACGCAUUAAGCACUCCGCCUGGGGAGUACGACCGCA